GGUUUUGUAGUUGAGGUAACAAUAUUAAAUUGCAAAUUUAAAGGGACGAAGAAUCGUUAAAACUU
rnacentral:tRNA from 1 species